UCCUUUUCUCCAGAUGAAGAAGUUAAAAUUUUCUCCUUUUCUUCAGCCAAAAGUGCUUUUGGCUGGUAAUUUCCAUUUUUCUCCCCCAAAAAUUGUUCUUCCCUCUGGUUCUUUGCCUGAAAUAUAAAGUUCUUUGCCUUUGUUUCUUUUCCUCUGGUUCUUUGUUCCUCUUCCGCCGGCUGCGAAGAAGCAUUUGAAUCAACUUAUUCAGAACCUGGAUGGUAAAAUGGAAACACAGAAAGAAAUCUUGAAGAGCAUUCAAACAAGUGUAAGUGCACAUGUGUUUCCAUCUUUGACAUCAUAGCCAGAUUAUCUCCUCAAUUAGAAGCAUUUGAAACAACAGCGUGCAUAGCUGAAGUUGUUGUUAUGCUGGUCACAACUGCCUUGGUGACACUUGUAAUGCUUCUGUGGCGACCAAUUUGCUUAUGGCUUUGUGUUUACAUAAUGCAUUACUUUAUAUCUAAUAUGCUGGACAUUGUUAUGAUAUAUGUAAUGCUAUUUUAGUAUAGUUGACUCGUAGGUGUCAUUCUUUGAAGAAUUUUUUCCGAUUUGUACACUUCUUUUAGGAACUGAUCUAGAAAACAAGAAGCUUGACCUUGAAAUCCGAUUUUAUAGUGGUACAAUUUGUAGAUGAAGAUAUAGAAAAUUGUCUUUCCCCUCUGUCUUGAU